rnacentral:rRNA from 1 species
AACGAACGCUGGCGGCAGGCCUAACACAUGCAAGUCGAGGGGGAAGCCACUUUCGGGUGGUGGAGACCGGCGCACGGGUGAGUAACGCGUGGGCACCUGCCCUGGGGUGGGGGACAACCGCUGGAAACGGCGGCUAAUACCGCAUACGCCCCGUUGUCGUAGAGGCGGCGGGGGAAAGAUUUAUCGCCCUGGGAUGGGCCCGCGUUGGAUUAGCUUGUUGGUGGGUAAAGGCCUACCAAGGCGACGAUCCAUAGCUGGUCUGAGAGGAUGAUCAGCCACACUGGGACUGAGACACGGCCCAGACUCCUACGGGAGGCAGCAGUGGGGAAUAUUGGACAAUGGGGGCAACCCUGAUCCAGCCAUGCCGCGUGCGUGAAGAAGGCUUUAGGGUUGUAAAGCGCUUUCACCGGUGACGAUGAUGACGGUAACCGGAGAAGAAGCCCCGGCUAACUCCGUG